rnacentral:rRNA from 1 species
GUGCCAGCAGCCGCGGUAAUACAGAGGGUGCAAGCGUUGUUCGGAAUUAUUGGGCGUAAAGCGCGUGUAGGCGGCAGUGCAAGUCGGGUGUGAAAGCCCUCAGCUCAACUGAGGAAGUGCGCCCGAAACUGCAUUGCUUGAGUACCGGAGAGGAUGGCGGAAUUCCCGAAGUAGAGGUGAAAUUCGUAGAUAUCGGGAGGAACACCGGUGGCGAAGGCGGCCAUCUGGACGGAUACUGACGCUGAGACGCGAAAGCGUGGGUAGCAAACAGGAUUAGAUACCCUUGUAGUCC